AUUGAACGCUGGCGGCAGGCCUAACACAUGCAAGUCGAACGAGUGGCGGACGGGUGAGUAAUUUCUGGGCAACUGCCCGAUGGAGGGGGCUAACUUCUGGAAACGGUAGCUAAUACCGCAUACCAUCGGAUGUGCCCAGAUGGGUUUAGCUAGUUGGUGGGGUAACGGCUCACCUAGGCGACGAUCCCUAGCUGGUCUGAGAGGAUGACCAGCCAAACGGGAACUGAGAAACGGUCCAGACUCCUACGGGAGGCAGAAGUGGGGAAUAGUGCACAAUGGGCGAAAGCCUGAUACAGCAAUGCCGCGUGUAUGAAGAAGGCGUUCGGGUUGUAAAGUACUUUCAGCGAGGAGGCGGUACUCGAAGAAGAAGCACCGGCUAACUCCGUGCCAGCAGCCGCGGUAAUUC
rnacentral:rRNA from 1 species